rnacentral:misc_RNA from 1 species
GAUGAAGAACGUAGCGAAAUGCGAUACUUGGUGUGAAUUGCAGAAUCCCGUGAACCAUCGAGUCUUUGAACGCAAGUUGCGCCUCAAGCCAUUAGGUUGAGGGCACGUCUGCCUGGGCGUCACAUAUCGUUGCCUGAUGCCAGUUUCCUCGUGAUGGGUGACUGUGCAGGGCGAAUGAUGGCUUCCCGUGAGCAUUGUUGCCUCAUGGUUGGUUGAAAAUUGAGUCCUUGGUAGGGAGCGCCGUGAUAGAUGGUGGUUGAGUAACGAACGAGACCCAAUCAUGUGAGACCCCUACCGAAUUUGGCCUUCAUGACCCACAUGCGUCUUUGGAACGCUCAUGACGAGACAUCAGGUCAGGCGGGGCUACCCGAUGAGUUUAAGCAUAUCAAUAAGCGGAGGA